CCUGGGACAUAUUUGUACCCCAUCUCUAUUUAAUGCCUUUAUACAAUUCUUAAUUCUACCAGCCUUUAUUGAGCCUGCUUUCUUUGUCUAGCUGAGUGCCACGUGCUGACAUCACUAAGAUCAAUACAGCAAACUCUGAAAGAUGGACGGAGAGACAGGAGAUGGUCCUUUAUAAUGCAGUGUGAUCUGUGCUGCAAUAGAGAUGGAAGAGUGUUCUGAUCGGCUGGAAAACAACGCACAUGGGAAGCUGUACAGAAAUGAGUGGGGAAAGUUUUGGAAGCUAGAAGUUCAAAACGAGGUGUUGGCAGCACCAUGCUCUCUCUGAAGAUGCUAGGAAGAAUCUGCUCCAUGCCUUUCCAUUCGCUUCUGGGGUUUCCUGCAAGCCCUGACAUUCCUUGGCUUGUAGAUACACCACCCCAGUUUCCGCCCCCAUCAUCACAUGGCCUCCUCUCUGUGUGUGCCUCUGCGUUCCCUCUAUUCUUCUUCUAAGGACACCGACACCAGUCAUAGUGGAUUAAGGGUCCACUCCUAACCAAUUACAUCUGCAACAACCCUAUUUCCAAAUAAAGUCACAUUCUAAGA
ensembl:lncRNA novel transcript